UGCGUAUGAAUACGAACUAUUUUCGCCCUAACGUCAUUUUACCGCAAUCGCCAUUGUUUACAAGUUCAUCCGUGAAAGAUUGAGAAGUUUAUAUAGAAGUUCCACGUGUUAAAACGAGUUGUUUGUGAAUAAAGGCUUGUUUGUUAGAUUUCAAUUGUGGCUCAGUUGGUUGUUUGCUGAGAAGCUGUGAAACAUAAUUAUACAGGCCAUUAAGGAGGUUUUUGUCAGAUUGAUGAAUGUGAAAUUAAGAGGACCCAUUUUGAGAAUGCUUUUUAUGAAUGGAAUCAAGAGAGAUAAAGUCUAAAAUGUGAUACUGUCAAUGUGACUAACCUUGAAGUAAACAGAUGACACAAUGUUUUUUCAAUGUCAUGGGCAUAUAAUGAAGAGAAAACAGAGAUGCUUGUUUGACAGAUACAGUAAUAGUAGGAGUUAUGAGGGAAGAUAGAUUGCAGUGAUAACUAUAUUGAGGCACCACUUCAUCACCAAGAACAUGAAAUGAAUUAUCAAUGUUUUCAAUGUGUUUGAACACCCAUUUUAAAUAAUACAGCUCAGAGUGAAUUUUUCAAAAUAAUUAAUUCUGUUUUCAAAGUUUUUUAUUUAGAUGUUAGUUGAUCUUGUCAAGUACUUUAUUUUUUUAGGGAUGGCAACAAUUACUAAAAUCAAUACUCGAGUACUCGGUCAUUUAGAGUAUUCGGUUACUGGGAUGAUUUCCAAUGAUCUUUAAAUUUUUAGCUCGACUAUUCGAAGAAUAUGAGAGCUAUUGUAGUCGCCCCGGCGUCAGCGUCCGCGUCGGCAUCUGCGUUGGUUAAAGUUUUUUGUAAAGUCAAAUAUCUCAAUUAUUACUUGAGAUAUUCAAUUGAAACUUACAAUACUUAUUUAUAGUAACAAGGUACAUCAGAUUGACAAGUUGGAUAACUCUGUCUACAAUAUUGACAGAAUUAUGCCCCUUUUUAACUUAGAAAUUUUGGUUAAAGUUUUUUGUAAAGUCAAAUAUCUCAAUUAUUGCUUGAGAUAUUCAAUUGAAACUUACAAUACUUAUUUAUAGUAACAAGGUACAUCAGAUUGACAAGUUGGAUAACUCUGUCUACAAUAUUGACAGAAUUAUGCCCCUUUUUAACUUAGAAAUUUUGGUUAAAGUUUUUUGUAAAGUCAAAUAUCUCAAUUAUUGCUUGAGAUAUUCAAUUGAAACUUACAAUACUUAUUUAUAGUAACAAGGUACAUCAGAUUGACAAGUUGGAUAACUGUGCCUACAAUAUUGACAAAAUUAUGCCCCUUUGGAACUUAGACAUUUUGGUUAAAGUUUUUUUUGUAAAGUCAAAUAUCUCAAUUAUUGCUUGAGAUAUUCAAUUGAAAUUUAAAAUACUUUUUUAUAGUAACAAUGUACAUCAGUUUGCAAAAUUGCAUAUCUCUGCCUGCAAUAUUUGCAGAAUUAUUUGCCCCUUUGAAACUUAGAAAUUUUGGUUAAAGGUUAAACUGGUCUUCAAAGAUAUUUACUUGAAACUUUACACAUGCACUUAGGGUCAUAAUUGGAGGGUCAUAAUUGUAUGUCACUGACCAAGUUCCAUAACUCUAUCUUGCAUUAAGGCUGAUUCAUAUCCCCUUUUCUACUUAGUCUCUUGGUUAUUUUUUACAUGCAAGUUUUACAUAUCUCAAUAACUAUUGAAGGUAUUUAUUUAAAACUUCACAUAUAUGCAUUUAGGGUCAUAAUUGUAGGUCACUGACAAAGAUCCAUAAUUCUAUCUUGCAUUUAGGCUGAUUUUUCUUCCCUUUUUCAACUUAGAAAUUCAUGGUAAAGUUUUGCUUGUAAGCUGUUAUCUCAAUAACUACUGAAGGUUUGUGCCUUUUUUGGGACAAUUUUAUGCAUUCAUAAUAAUAAAGCAGUGAUUUACUUGAUAAAACAUCUUAAUAACAAGCCUUUGUACCUUUUCUGUCAAAUUUAUGUAUUCAUAGGUAAUUAGUAUUAUUAUACUCAAUAAAACACCCUUGUGACAUUACCUUCCAAAUAGUCAAGCCAAUACUGUAUAAUUAGACUCUCUCUAAGGCCUAUAACAUGAAUUUAUCAAAAAAAAUUAGCCCUUUGUGAACUUAAAAAAUUUAACAUUAUCAAGGCUCUUUUACUAUCAAGCACUUAGAAUAGUCGAGCAUGCUGUCCUACCGACAGCUCUUGUUAUCACACAAUAUCAACACCGUCUGCAUGCUACCUUCAUUUUCUAUUUUAAUUCAUAGAAUUUGUAGCUAUAAAUAGGAUUGCAAGAAAUACAUAUAAUGAAUAUAAGCAUAAGAAAUGUCAAUGACAGCAUUUAUUAUAUACCAAUAAAUUUUCUUCCUAAAACACAGGAUUAUCUUGAAGCGCAAAUAGUUUUCAACGGUUAGAAAAUUCUGUAUUAUGUUAGAGACAAAACAGUACCAUAUAUGAAAGGCCUGGACUAUUUUUAUGCUCCCCGAAAAAUUUCGGGUGAGCAUAUAGUCGCCGCCUUGUCCGUCCGUCCAUCCCCUUUUAUUGUCCGGGACUUAACUUUGAAACAACAAGAGGUAUCAACAUGAAACUUUGUAGGUACAGUCUAUGCGAAAGACUUCUGAGUUUUACUGGACAGUAGGUCCUGUAAACUGAAAAUUUUUACUGGACCAAACAUGAUUUUACUGGACCGAAAAAAACCUGAUUGGUAUAGCAUUUUGAGUCAUUUGAGUGUCAGCAGUCAAAAAAUUUGUGUACAAAAAGAAAAUUGUAUUAUCAAGGAAGUGAAGUUAUCUUUUUUCACCACAAUCAAAAUGUAAACAUAAAUAUUGUUAUACAUGUAUUCAAUGGAUUUUGCUAUUUAAACUUUAAUUUCAUACAGCAAAAUGAGAGGGUAAAUUUCAGCAAAAGUCUGGCAUAUGUAAACAGAAUUAUAUAUAUCGGUAAUUUAGUGAAGUUGACAGAUUAAUUGUUCAAUGAUUUUGGUACCUUCACAGUAUAGUUUAAUUUUUGUCAACAUCUUGGACGAUCUUUCAUAGCUAAACACCAGUUGAGCACACAUGUAAUUUAACAUUUCUCUAAGUCUGUGGAUUAAAGACGUAAAUUGUUCCAAUUAAUUCACUGACGCUUUCAUCUGUGUAAACAAACUAAUAGCGGUUGACCUUUUACAUCUGGGCCGCUUAUGUAAUUUACAUGGCCGCUGAUUGACUUUUACUUGUACUAGUUGUCGAAUAUUUUUAUCUAACGUUGUUACAUUAAAGUUUGCAUUAUGAGAAUGCAUAACAGUUGACAAGCAUUGCACGAGCUUAUAUUGUGUAAUGACAACAUUUUGAUUUGUUUUGAAUGUAGGUAAAUGAUCGGCCUUUGCAAAAUGUUGAAUGUAAGGUUUUUAUAAAUCCUUAAUUUUUACCGGACCGUCGGGCCGUCAAAACAUAUAUUUUUAUCGGACCUUCUGAUUUUUACCGGUCAGGGCCGACGUUCCGACGGUCUUUCAGAAAGACUGUAGGUAGAUAGAUCUCAUUGAGUAGGUGUGCAGUGCACAAGAACCGUAACUCUGCCUUGCCUAAUUUUUGAAUUAUUCCCCUUUGUUUAUUUUUACACUUUGAACUUUGUCCGGGACAUAACUCUAAAACUAUAAGAGGUAUCAACAUGAAACUUUGUAGGUAGAUAGAUCUAAUUGAGUAAGUGUGCAGUGCACAAGACUGUAACUCUGCCUUGCUUAAUUUUUGAAUUAUUCCCCUUUGUUUAUUUUACACUUUGAACUUUGUCCAGGACAUAACUCUAAAAGUAUAAGAGGUAUCAACAUGAAACUUUGUAGGUAGAUAGAUCUCAUUGAGUUGGUGUGCAGUGUACAAGAACCGUAACUCUGCCUUGCCUAAUUUUUGAAUAAUCCCCCUUUGUUUAUUUUACACUUUGAAAUUUGUCCGGGACAUAACUCUAAAACUAUAAGAGGUAUCAACAUGAAACUUUGUAGGUAGAUAGAUCUCAUUGACUUGGUAUGCAGUGCACAAGAACCGUAACUCUGUCUUGCCUAAUUUUUGAAUUAUCCCCCUUUCUUUAUUUUACACUUUGAACUUUGUCUCUAAAACUAUAACAGGUAUCAACAUGAAACUUUGUAGGUAGAUAGAUUUCAUUGAGUUGGUAAGCAGUGAACAAGAACCUUAACUCUCCCUUGCCUAAUUUUUGAAUUAUCCCCCUUUGUUUAUUUUUACACUUUGAACUUUGUCCGAGACAUAACUCUCAAUGUAAAAGAGAUAUCAACAUGAAACUUUGUAGGUAGAUAGAUAUCGUUGAGUAAGUUUGCAGUGCACAAGAACUGUAACACUGUCUUGCCUACUUUUGGAGUUAUUGCCCUUUGAUCAUUUUGACACUUUAAACUCUGUCCAGGACAUUACUCUAAGCAGUGCUUAAGAAUCAUUACUCUGCCUUGCCUUAUUUUGAAGUAAUUGCCCUUUGUUUAUUUUUACUUUUUGACUUUUGUCCGAGACAUAACUUUAAAACUAUUAGAGAUAUCAACAUGAAACUUUGUAGGUAGCUAGAUAUAAUUGGAUAGAACUGCAAUGCUUAAAGAACCUAAAGAAAGCCUGGUCUAAUUUUGGAGUUAUUACCCUAAUUUCAUUUUUACACUUUGAAUUUUACCUUGGACAUAACUCUGAUAUCAUCAGGCAACUUUAUAGAUAGAAAGAUCUAAUUGAAUAGAAGUGCAGUGCAAAAAAAAACAUAACUCCGCUUUGCCUAAUUUCGGGGUUUUUGCCCUUUGUUCAUUUUUUUUAUACUUUCCAGUGUCCAGAACCUUCUCGGGGAGCAUCAACCGGUUCUUGUUAAUGUUGGUUCUGAUCUUAGCUGUGUAUAACAUAGUAUAUGGAAAUGGCAACCAAAAUAAUAAAAGGUGUGGCUGGUUUUGCACAAAUUACGUAUUCAUCUGUCAGUCAUAAUUUAUUUCUUGACAGCUACAUUUCUUUUUCUGAAAUUUCUUAUAUAAGUGUAGUAUAAUGAAAAUCAUUUAUACUUCAAACGAAAAGGUAUAUUAUUAAAGGAAAAUUAUGUUGUAGUAGCUUUCUGAGGCUAUGCAUUUUUCUACUUGCAAUGUUGGAAAAUUGUUAUCUAGCUCGCCCUUUGGUCUCGCAAGAUAUCAAUUUCCCACCACUGCUCAUAGCAAAAUACAAAGCCUCAGAGAGCUACUACAACAUAAUACUCUGUAUAUAUAUUUUUUAUAAUUAACAAGUUUGGGCUAUCCUUGAACUUUUUUUUAUUUAAUCAAGUUUGAUUUUUUUUAAAUAUAUUUAUAUGAAUGCAUGCAGCUUUGAAAUAGAUUUUACUUAUGUAUAUUUGGCAGCAAUUUCAUAUGUAGCUCUUCGAAAAAAAAUCACUUGAGCAAAAAAAUUUUUAUAGGCAUAAAGUGAUACCCGUUCUGUCAUCAUCAGUUUUUGGUUUUUAGCUCACCUGAGCUUGCUCAGGGUGAGCUUUUAGGAUCGGUGAAUGUCCGUCGUCCGUCCACAAUUGCUUGUGAACACUCUAGCGGUCGCAUUUUUGCCUCAAUCAUCAUCAAACUUGGUCAGGAUGCUUAUCUAGUUGAAAGCAUGGAUGAGUUCGAACAUGAGUCAUCUCGGAUGAAAGACUAGGUCACAAGAGCUAAAAAAAGAAAAACCUUGUGAACACUGUAGAGGUCACAUUUUUGACCCAAUCAUCAUUAAACUUGGUCAGGAUGUUUGCCUAGGUGAUAGCUCGAAUGAGUUCAAACAUGGGUCAUCUCUGAUGAAAAAGUAGGUCACAGGAGCUACAAAUAGAAACACCUUGUGAACACUCUAGUGGUCACAUUUUUAAACCAAUCAUCAUCAAACUUGGUCAGAAUGCUUGUCUAGUCAAUUGCUUGGAUGAGUUUGAACAUGGGUCAUCUCUGAUGAAAAACUAGGUCACAGGAGCUAAAAAUAGAAAAACCUUGUGAACACUCUAGUGGUCACAUUUUUGACCCAAUCAUCAUCACACUUUGUCAGGAUGCUUAUCUAGUUGAUAGCUCGGAUGAGUUCGAACAUGGGUCAUUUCGGAUGUAAAACUAGGUCACCGGAGCUAUAAAUAGAAAAACCUUGUUAACACUCUAGCAGUCACAUUUUUGCAUCAAUCAUCAUCAAACUUGGUCAGGAUGCUUAUCUAGUUGAUAUCUUGGAUGAGUUCGAACAUGGGUCAUCUCAGAUGAAAAAGUAGGACACCGGAGCUAAAAAUAGAAAAACAUUGUUAACACUCUAGCGGUCACAUUUUUGCAUCAAUCAUCAUCAAACUUGGUCAAGAUGCUUGUCUAUGUGAUAGCUCGGAUGAGUACAAACAUGGGUCAUCUCGGAUGAAAAAGAAGGUCACCGGAGCUAAAAAUAGAAAAACCUUGUUAACACUCUAGCAGUCACAUUUUUGCAUCAGUCAUCAUCAAACUUUUGUCAAGAUGUCUGUCUAGUUGAUAGCUCGGAUGAGUUUGAACAUGGGUCAUCUCGGAUGAAAAAGUAGGUCACCUGGGGUAGAAAUAGAAAAACCUUGUUAACACUCUAGUUGUCACAUUUUUGCAUCAAUCAUCAUCAAACUUGAUUAAGAUGCUUGUCUAGGUGAUAGCUCGGAUGAGUUCGGACAUGGGUCAUCUCGGAUGAAAAACUAGGUCACAGGAGCUAAAAAUAGAAAAACCUUGUUAACACUCUAGUGGUCACAAUUUUGACUCAAUUGUUAGCAAACUUGGUCAGGAAACUUGCUUAGGUCAUUGCUGGGAAUAAAUCGAACAUGGGACAUCUCGGAUGAAAAACUAGGUCACAGGAGAUAAAAAUAGAAAAAUCUUGUUAACACUCUAGUGGCUACUGUUGUGAUCCAAAUAUUCUGUUAAUUGGUCUAAAAGUUUGUUUUGAUGAUUUCUAAGUCAAGAUUCAACAUGGGUCAUCUUGGAUGAAAAACUAGGUCACACCGCCCAAAUAUGGAAAAGCCUUGUUAACAUUCUAGUGGUCACAUUUUCGACUCAAUUAUCAUCAAACUUGGUCAGGAUGCUUGUCUAGGUAAUUGCUUGGAUGAGUUCGAAAUCGCAUGUGAAACUAGGUCACCGGAGCUAAAAAUAGAAAAAUCUUGUUAACACUCUAGUUGCUUCUGUUUUUAUCCAAGUAUCCUGGAAAUUGGUCUGACAGUUUGUUUUGAUGAUUUCUAGGUCAAGUUUGAAUAUGUGUCACCUGGGUAAAAAACUAGGUCGCACUGCUCAAAUAUGGAUAAUCCUUGUUAACACUGUAGUGGUCACAUUUUUGACUCACCUGUCAUGAGACUUGGUCAGAAUGCUUGUCUAGGUAAUUGUUUGGAUGAGUUUGAUAAGUCAGGUGAGCGAUCUAGGGCUAUCAUGGCCCUCUUGUUUUGUAUGGUUUUAUUUAAGAAAUAUUUUGUUCCAGUUAUUUACAGAUGUUUGUAUGAUUAUUGGAUUAAAGUUAAAGUACA